rnacentral:rRNA from 1 species
GUUUAUCAAAAACAUGUCUUUUUGAAUUUAAUUUAAAGUCUAACCUGCCCACUGAAUUUUUAAAUGGCCGCAGUAUUUUAACUGUGCAAAGGUAGCAUAAUCAUUAGUCUUUUAAUUGAAGGCUGGAAUGAAUGGUUGAAUGAAAUAUUAACUGUUUCAUAUAAAUUAAAAAUAGAAUUUUAUUUUUUAGUCAAAAAGCUAAAAUUUUAUUAAAAGACGAGAAGACCCUAUAAAUCUUUAUAUUUUUUAUUAUAAUUAUUAUUUAGAUAAUUUUAAUUUUUUUAUUAAAAAGUAUUUUAUUGGGGUGAUAUUAAAAUUUAAGAAACUUUUAAAUAAAAAUAAACAAAAAUUAUUGGAAUAUUGAUCCAUAGAUGAUGAUUAUAAAAUUAAGUUACUUUAGGGAUAACAGCGUAAUUUUUUUAGAGAGUUCAUAUUAAUAAAAAAGUUUGCGACCUCGAUGUUGGAUUAAGAUAAAAUUUAGGUGAAGAAG